UACUGUCGUAAUCUCUAGGCUAUCUCGCUAAUUCCUAGCGUCCGUGCGAGUACAAUGCGCAAAUAAAGGCAGUAAAUCAUCCUAUUUGUAAAUAUCGUACUUUUCUCUUCAUCCAACUUUAAGCGCACAUCCUCGAAAUGCUUGAAUAACUUGCUUGCUCAUAUAAAAAAAACAAAAUAAUAUUAACCACGCUCGGUUUAUAUUUAUUUUGUCACCAAAUCAUGAAUUUUAUUCGCUGUAAUUUUUCCAGACGAUAAAUCACCGCUGGCGCAGAUAAAAAUUCGUGACGCGAUUAAUUUACUCGCGCAACUCGCUGGCUUUAAAAGCGUUUGAUACGAGGACUCGAACGUCAUCAAAUAUCGGAUUUAACCGAUGCGUGUCGACGUUAUUGACUUUGAAGCUAAAAUUUCACAUGGCCGCUGCCGGCUGUUAUUUAAAAGUGCAUGCCAUCGCCCUCGAUGGUUGUCGACUAAACAUAAUUAAAAUUUGUUUCAGAUUGAAUAGAGACGAGUGGAGCAGUUAACUUCGAGGACUUCGAAAUAGAUAUGUGCGUCGAAGAUCAACCGGACGUUGUUCGCCAAUGACGCAGGCAACGGAGACGAGGUGC